GCCGACAGCACACGUGCAGAACGCACAACGCGACGCGAUCCGUACGUCGUACACGUACCGACACCGAACAACCGUCCGCGAUCGAAGCGAUGAACCGGCCGACGACGACGACGACGUUGGUUUUACUAUUCUUUUCGGUGGCUGCCGCAAAUGUGCCGUACGAUGACGGCCACGCGUUCCGGUUACUCGUGUUGCACACCAAUGACAUGCACUCGCGGUUCGAGCCGGUCGAACGGAUCGGCGCGCAAUGCAUGGACCGCAGCCCGGUACCGCGGUGUUACGGCGGUUUCGCGAGGCUCAAGACGGCCGUGGACGAGGCUCGGGCCGAGGCCCAAAAGUCCAACGGCUCUGACGGAACGCUGUUUCUCAACGCCGGCGACACGUUCCAGGGCACGGCCAUUUACACGUUCCUCAAGUGGAUGGCUGUGGCCCGCAUGAUAGACCCGCUCGGCAUCGACGUCAUGGUGAGUGAUUGUACAGUGGUGUGCGACGACACCUCGGGGUCGCCGCCGACGCUCGGGGUUAAGACGGUUAUGUCAUACGGUUAUUAUUAGAGUCACUCGUCGACCGACAGUGAAAUCCCCCGAAACCGAUAAUACGAGUAUUAAUAAUUCAAUUAAUAGGUUUGUGAUAAUAGAAAACGUAAAAUCGGCACAUCAAUAUCACAAGUGGGAUUUGUUAAUUAAUCGAUAGAUUUUGAGUGUAGCCAAGAAUGCAUUGGUUUUACUAAGAUGUUUAGUUUUUUAUUUUUUUAUCCUGUGCACAAAAAUUCUACCAGCAAUCUUACUCAGAUUUAUACGCACGGCACCAUUUCUGAAAGGGAACAUUGUCCAGAUGGUGCUUUUGGGAGAUCAUUUUUUGAUUUUCUAAGCGGAAAAUAUAAUAUGUAUAUAUAUAUUCACAAUAUCUAGGAAAAACCAGGAUAAAACGUAAAAGAACUGGAAAUUUAGGAAAAUAAUGCUUUUAUUAUUUUUCAAUUAUAUUAUUUGUUGUAAUUCAAUUGAAAAUAUUCGUAAACAUUUAAAAUUUGAACAAGAAAUUUAUAUUUACUUUUUCUAAGCGUGGUAAAAUAUUCAAAACAUUUGAGCCAUUUUAAGGCUAUUUAUACAAAUUUUAAUAUUUUUGUUGAGAUUCAGUUAAAAAUAUUCGUAUCGACUCAACUGAACUUGUAAUUUAGACAGAAAACUCGUAUUUGUUUUUUCUAGACGUGGUAAAAUUUUCAAAAAAUUUAAGUCAUUUUUGAGGUACUUAUAAACAUUUCAAUUUUGCGAGUUGUGUACGAAAUUUUUAUUCGGUAAGUACUCUGUGAUAAAAUUGUUAGACUUAAUAUAAAUGCUUUAAAAUUUAUUAGGAAAUUCAUUAAAAGUCUUACUUUGUUGUCAAAAAAUGAAAAUUUAAGUUUAAUGUAGUAUUUUUUUUUUUAAAAAGGAAAUUUAACAUCAAAUUUUGACGAAAAUCGUUGAGAAAAAAAUUACCCGGAAUAAAUCUAAUUUUUAAUUUUUUUUUUUUUGAAUAUAUGUAUAUUGGUGAUGGAGUAUAUCGACGAUAAAAAAAAUGGUGAAGUCAGUAUUGAGCGAAUCGAAAUUAUAGUUUUUUGAAAUUCUGAUAUUAUAUGUUAUAUUAAAUAACUAAAUAUUGUCAUUAUUUUUAGUAUGUUUGUUGUAGCCAAACGGUUAUACAUGCCUAUUAGGGAUUGAGGAGUAUAAGUCUGCCGGAACAACUGUUUAUGGAAGAUAUAGUAAAAUGCGGAACAAAAAUAUUGUGGGGUAAACAGUAUACAAGGCGAUCCAUUUAAAUGGGUGCACUCGAUAUAAUAUAAACUAUGUGAAUUUUUCCUUCUCAACAGUAUUAAAAUAUACACCUAUAAAUAAACUGUUUUUAAAUUAUAGUUAUUUUUGUACAUUCGGUACCUAUUGUCUAAACACUACACUCUAGAGUGUAAUAAGGUAUAUUAUAAAAAUAUUUUUAAAUUACUCUGUGCAUCGCCAUAGUAAAUUAUACAUAUAAAACAUUAAAAAAGGAUUGAAUUAAUAUUAUGUACACGAUACCAAGAAAUAUACAAUAUUCAUUUUUAAUAUUUAGUCAUAAUACAGUAUUGUUAUUAUUAAUGAAAACGGUCUCUUAUGUUUCGGUUUCUUAUGAAAAAUAGUAUUAUUUUAAUAACAGAUUAAAUUGAAAUCCAAUCGUUUUAUUCAAUUCUUGGAUUAAAUAAGAAUCCCAAACAAAAAAAAAUAAAUCAAUGAGUUCAAAUUAUAACAGAAAACAGUGGUGACCAAAUUCGGACCGCGAUCAAUCAUUAACCGGCCCACCAAAGUAAUAAAUCAAAAUUAAAAAAUUAAAUAACUUCAAAUUUCAAAAUUUAACACUCAUAUCGAAAAAAAGACAUGUUUAUACUUUACUUUUUUUCUCAUUCAUAGUAAAUAAUUAAAUAAAUCACUGUACCUAUAUUUAGAUGUACCUACAAUAAGAUUUAAUAUUCUAUUAACUUAAAAGUAAAAGUUGAAAUCUGUAGAACCUCAGAAAUAACCGGGCAAACGUAGUAGUGAUUUAAUAGUAGGUACAGAUUUUUUUUUUCUUAUAUUACAUAUACAUAACGAUAAAAUAAAAUAUAACUGGUCCAAUGUGAUUACACGUGUACAACGUAUACAUAAUAAUACCGAAGUUAUGAAGGUAUUGAGAAUUAUAAAAGUUAGUACAUUUAAUUAUAAGUUACCAACCUAAUAUGAAAAAUUGAAAUUUAUCGACGCUACGGUUUUGCCCAAAUGGGAUUGGUCACUAGGUUUUCCUAGGCUACAGCCGAAAUACGACGUUUUUCCAAGUAUCGCGGGCACUUAGAGUUUUGUCGAGUUUCGGAUACAAACGAGAAUUCAAUGUACAUCAUCUGUAAGCAACGAUAAACCAUUGCUAACGAAAAAACCAUUGUGAGCGAAAUUCAGUUGAUAGUGUUUGCUUUGUCAACAAUAUAUAUGUCAUAUUAUAAUACGCAAUAUUUACAGUGAAAAUUCCAACUGCCGUGUUCCAUUCGUCUACAAAUUUACUAACCUUAACUGACACAUCGUUGUGUGUAUUAUAGAGAAUAAUCCGCAUUUUUAUAAAAAAAUAAAAAAAAAAUAAAAUCAAUUUCUUUUAAACAUUUAUACUGAUCUUUGGUGGGGAAGGGUAGUGAUAUUUGACGGACACUUGCUAGCGUACGCGGAAGCAGAUCACAUCGCCCACAUCGCGGGAACUCGGCAAUUUCCUCAAUGUACAAUAAUAUAACUAUCAAAAAUAAAACUAACGCGACGAAUGCUCUGUUAUACGUGGGAAGUCGAAAAGGUAGGAAAUAUAGGAUGAUUUAUUUUAAAUUUUGAACGCGACGAUAAAUCAUUGUAAACGAAAUAUACGUACUUGUGAGGGGAACUUUUCGGUUAAACGUUUGUUAAACAGUUAAAAUCGAAAAUGUUAUUAAUAUUCUAGCUGUGAUAUGAUUUAUAGCAUAAAUAUUUAAUUUAGUUAUUUAAUUAAUAUUUGUACAUAACAAAACUAUUGCCCAUGAAAAAUGAUAAAAUUACCGUAAUUUUUACGAUUUUCGUUAAAAUUUAAUCUUAAAACGAUUAAAUAAAAAAACUACUGCAUUAUGCCUGACUUUAUUUUUUUUUACCGUAAAUUACAAUUUAUAAUAAAACUAUUGUUUUUAAUUUUUAAGCAUUUACUUUUUGGUCAAACAAUUGUAUCCACAUAGUAUAAACUUACUAAAAAAAAACUAUGUAAAAAAAUUAUAAAAUGUGAAAUGUCUAUAAAUAACUCAAAAAUAUUUUCAGGAUUGUUAAACAAUUUUAACACGUUUAGUAAAAAUGAAUAAAAUCUAUCUGUAAAAAUGUCAUGUCUCUAUUAUAAUUUUUAACAGAAUUACAACAAAAAACAAAAUUGAAAAUUUUGAUAUUUUCCCAUUCUUUCUAUAUUUUUCCCGGUUUUGUUCACUUAUUAAGAAAACAACACGGUACAUAAAAAAUCAGCCUCCUUAAACACCAACAAGAUCCAAAUUUCAACAAAAAAUAUUAAUUUUAAUUUUUUGUUUGGAACAAGUUUCCUGGUAGAAAGUUACAUUUAUUAUAUUUUCACCGUUUUAAAGAAAUUCCGCGCACAAAACUUAAAUAUCAUUAGUCGUAUGUACAUGAAGACUGAGAACCACUGGUAUAAUACGUAUAUGCUAUAAGCCUGAGCGAGAAAUGUAUACAUAUACAUUUUAAAACGUGUACAAAUAAAAAUAGAUCAGAAUAAUUUUUCGGAGAAGGAGAAACUGUCGUACAGGUGGUGUAAAACAGUAUCUCGUUUUUAGAGAACUACUGCCAUAGUGACAUAUACUAAUAUUCCCGUAGAGGGGUAUUUCGUAACAAUUGGGAAGAACUUAGGUAAAACGGGACACACAUACACGUAUGAAAAAAUAAGUACAAUUUUUACUUUGAAAUGAAAUAUAAAAUAAAUCUUUACAUUGCGUAUAUUAUGUGGGUUGACUCUAUUAAAAUGAAUACGGCUAAGAAUGAAAGAGUCGUCAAUAUUAUUGUUUAAUAAUUUAUUAAUAAUUGAGACGAACAAAUUGUGUUUCCUUACUUUCAAUGAUUAUAAAUUUAAAAAAUUUAUAAUUUUAACAUAGCCCGAGUGGUUGGUCUUUGGUAUUUUAAAAUUAAAGCAAAUAAAUCGGAAAACUUUGUUUUGGAUACCUUCAAUUUCGUUACUAUAGCCAAUAGUAUUAUUUUCCCAGAUUAUCGAAGGAUAUUCAAGCUGUGCACGAAUGAUAGAGAUGUAUAGUUGCCCAAAAGUUAUUAUUAAGGUUGUUGAAUUCAGAACCGUUUCGUUUGACCAUGCUAUUUAUAGAAAAAGCUUUUUUUUUAAUUGCUAGGAUAUGAGAAUAAAAUAUAAGUUUGUAAUCAAACCAUAUUCCAAGAUUUUUUAAUUAAUGAGAAACGAAAUAGAUAAAUAUCUGUUAAACGAUAUUUAUAAAUGAUGUGAUUACGUUUUUUAUUUUUUUAAUGUUUUAUUUGACAUUUAUCUAUAUUUAUAGCGAGACCAUUGAUUACAUAUUUUCAAUAAACCCAAUAUAUUAAAAUAUUUGUUUUGUUAAUGGCAACGCCAUUUCAUGUUGUUUCUUCUGCAGUAUUAUUGUAACUUGUCGUUACAUGAUUAAUUUCUUUUAUGAAAAACGUCCUAUUUACAAAGGAGGAGGUUGGUAAUACAUAUCGCCCAUUCACUUCCCUAUAAGAAGGGCUUAUGUACGAUACCGAAACACGGUGGCGCCAAAUGUUAUUUGUUUUGUAUAUAAUAUUAUAAUAUUAAUACGUAAGUUUUAUUUCGAACUCCGUAUUAUGAUGUAAUAAAUUGUAUCGUCCUGCGAAACGCGUCUAUAUCAUUUAUUAUCGUUAGGCGCUUCGUGAGAAAUAAUUAAUGCGCGCUAAAAUACGAGCACCUACACGUAUAAUACGGUUAAAUUACGUACUUAAUUAUACUACACGCUAUUAUAAACAAAACGUAAUUGAUUACAUUAUCACAACUAUAACUUAGUUGCAGUUACACGCGAAUCGUAGCAUAUAUUAUUUAUUGUUCCGUUUAAGCCGACGUGCGUCUAAUCUAUAGGUCAAUAAUACUCAAUAAUAAAUUAUCGUCACGUAAGAAAAUCGUAUAUGCCGUGUGAAUGUAAGGUCAAGUGUCAUCGUUAUAUAAAAUCUAGUGUUGUCGAAUUCGAAUAAAAGUAAUUUCUCGUGUUAAAAGCCGCAAGUGGUGUGCAUAUUAUAAUCGUCGAAGUAAAUACAAGAGAGGUUCUUCCCCGCCUCCUCAAUCAAGGCUUCGUCGAGUAAAUACCAAUCGACAUUUCUUCAUUAAGUGAAAGUCACAGUAGCGUCAUGCCACCAAGUCUUUCUAGAGGACGACAACAUAAUAAACAACGUGGUCGAUGUAAAGCAAAACAAAAAGGUGUUUAAAAUUGAUUAUAGAACUAAUAAAGCACCCGCCUUCAUGCGAUUUAUAGAUGAUCAUUUUUUAAAGAAUAAGACAUCGGUUAUUUUGAAAAUAAAGCUGCGGCCUCUCACUUAUAGGGGCGAUUUUCGUUUUUGAGUUAGUGACGGUGGAAAUAUCUUUAUACCUGCAUAGAAUCGCAUGAUCGGAAAGUGGAGAAGAAAGAAAAACCCGAGAACUAGAAGCAAUGUACCUAUGACAAAAAGAAUAUUUUAGAAACCAUCAAAAAACUCUUCCGGUGAAAAAUAACCCGUCAGGAAAUAUACCGUUAAGAAGGUCAAGAGUGAGUUAAGAAAAUGUGUUUAAGAAAGCUGUAGAAGCUUUAAGAGGCAGACUGAAUGGGUUAGGAUGAUGAAUUAAAAAAUAGUUGAGGGACGAGUUGUGAGAAAGGAUAAUUUCAAAAUUUUACAAAAUUCGGAAAAAAUGUUUUUCGACCCCUUUUAUAUAAACAAUUAAGUGAUUUUCAGUAGUACAAAAACUGAAAUUUAUUGUGGCGGUAAACGGAGAUGGAGAUUUUUAUACCGGUGGUGAUCAGUUAGAUCGAUAUUGGCGGAAAAUUUAAUUACUCCUUAUUAAUGAUUAAAAUUAGGAACGGUUCCUAAAAACAUCGGUACCAGUUCGAUUCAGAAAAUAUUUCUUUUGGUUCUCGAUGCCGAUACUGGUUCUUCUUUUUACAAUGUGAAAAUAAUAACUUCAAACAUUCGUUGUAUAAUUCAUAAGAUAAAGAAAAAAAUGUCUACUGAUUACUAGUUAAUAGUGUGAUUUGACUCAUUGAUAAUAGGUCCCUUUGUAAAUACCGAUAUUUACUAAAAGAAACAAAUGAUUAAAACGAAUGUGACUACAUAAAAAAAAAAAUAAAUAAUACUAAUAAUAAUAAUUACCAGAAUCGAUAUAAUAUAACCAUGAACCCGAAGAAACAAGAGCCGGAUCUGACUGAUCCCUAGUUAAGAUUAAAUUAAAUUAAAACACUCAUAUCUUUUUAAAAAUGAAGAUAUUAAAAAAAAUCAUUAGGUCAAGGUAUAAUUAAUACUUUUCUUUAAAAAAUCUACAUUGGUUCUUCGUGAAAAACUCAACCAGAGUUGUGGAAGAAAAUUUAUCACAUUUAGGAGUUGAAAAUUGGAGAGAGAUAGUUCAAGAUACUGUGAUGGAAAUAUGAUGAGAAAGUGAGAGAUGGGCGACGAAGUGCAGUUAUGGUAUUUAAGCUUUAACCCUGUACGGCCAUACUAUCCUUCAUUGAUAUUGAUAUUGAUAUGGUGGUAUGAUUCUAAUUCUCGAAAAGAUGGAGGAAAUUAAUAUUAUAUGCAAUUAGCAUAUAAAUGAAAGUUAGUUACGUAUCGUAUUUUGUAUACAUGCAUCUGUGACUGUGCGUUCUACGCCUUUUGUCUAGGUAAUGACAAAUAUCUUAAAACAUUUGAUUAGCAAACAGGGACACCAACUGCGAAUAAAAUCAGACAUUUUUACAUUUUUUUCCCAUUAAAAGCAAAUUGAUUUUAUGAUGAAAAUUAUUAAAUGGCUAAAUACGUUAUCUAUGAUAUUAUUUACGGUAAAUCAACAAUAGCUCUUGAAAAGGAAAAAAAACACAAAUUAUUUAUUUUUGGUUGUCUGACAAAUUGUUGCUCAACAGUGCAUAGUCAACGGAUCUACAUGUUUUUCACGUAAGUUUAUUAUUAUCUCGUGAUUAUUUCUCUCCGGUAAAUGAAGUUAAAAAAAAAAACCGAUUUUGUAGCAUCGCAAGAUGGCUAUAGUCCAUUCGGCUCUCAUUUUACAAAAAGGCCAAUUCCCAAACGGCUCUCAUUAUAUAAAUAUGUCAAUUCCAAAUUCAAAUUUGACCCAAAUGGAAUCUGCAUCCCUUUAUACUCACCGAUAUUCAUGGUUUUUGUACUGCAGAGUGAAUAGCCUCUUCAAAAUCUACGAAUGUAACUUAUGGAUUUAUGAAAUCACACAACGCUGAAAGAGCUUUUCCGUAGAAGACUGAUGUUUUUUCGGGCAAAACACAGUAAGUCAGGGGAAGAUAGUGUCCGUUAUGGGAAACAUAGGGUAACAAUACGAUUGAAAACGCUCGACCUUUUCUAGCGUACGAGAACGCUCGAAAUAGAACAAUGAAAUAGGCGCUUUUGACCCUGAUGACCCGAUGAUGAACUAUUACUUAUAUCCCUCCUACUUAAAAAAUUGUCAUAUAAAUGUAAAUGAUUAUGUUCCAAAUGUAUAUCAUAUAUUUCGCCAAUACUGUUAUUCUUAAAAAAAGAUUUACAACCACGUGUUGUAAAUUUCCACCGUUUUAGGUCGACAACCAAUUUUUGUCGAAAGAAAACGGAUAUUUUUCUAUGCACCUUUUUUUUCAGAUUUUUACUUUACAUUUUUCACUGUACAAUUUUAUUAUAUUAUACACGACUAAACUACGGCUAUCACAAACUGACUGACUGGCAUAUCAAGUUACAUUGUAUUCUGUAUUUUGUGAUAGAUAUUACGUACUUAUUAUUAAAGUCGAAACUUGAUAAAAUUGGAUGCAACACGAUUGCGAACGUUUUUCUAUUUUUAUAACACAAUUGCGAACGUAUGUCGCUUAUCAAAUAAUUUUUUUUUUAUCUGAAAAACGAACGAUUGUGUACGUUUUCUGAGACUUCUUUGUUAAGCUUAGAUAGUGUACAUUUUUCUAAAUAUGUUUUAUUCUAUUUGGAGGUUCAAUUAUAAAUAUUAUAACUACGUUAUAUAUUAAAAUAAAAUGACACAUAAUUAUUGAGUUUAAAAUGGUUUAAAUUUUUUCUCGGUAAAAAUAUUAUACAACACGAGAAUCACGAUAAUACUGCACGACUACACGAAUCAAGCUGGUUUCCAUCAAAUUAGUAUCAAUUUAGGACUAAUGUUAUUGAUAUGUAUGUUAUCGCCCGGUGUAAUAGCAAGAAACCAUUGUUGUUAACCUUAUAUAAUUUGUUUAUAUGAAAAUAAAAGAAAAUUUUAAUAAUAUUAAAUAUAUUUAUUAUAUAAAAAUAAUUGACAAACAUCAAAUCUGGCAACUCCGCACUAAAAAUAGCAAGUAAAAACGUUCGUAAUCAUGCCAUUUGUAAUCACCCGAUAAAAUUCGAUGAACUAGUUAAAAUUCUUUUAACAAUAUUCCAUAUAAGCAUAGAAUGCUUGAAACGUAAAAUUCAAACUCCAAUAAUUUAAAUUUAUUCAAUAAAACUUGUUUGGGAAUUUACAUCCUCGUAAAGCCAUUUUCGACGUGACACAUUUCGGGAAAGAAAUAACGGAUGGAAACAGUUUGGGUUGCACCACGCGAGAUACACGACAGAUUUACGUCCGAUAUUCAAAAAAUAAUAAGCACAAUUUAGGUACUUAUAAUACCUACCUAGUUAGAAUCGUCAUUUUUAUUACACGCAAUAAUAAAUCGUCUCGACAUCACUCUCGGCACGUUAUUCGAACGGGUAAUUUAAAAAAAAAAUACGAUUGUAUAAUGUUAUUAUAACCUGCAACACUCGCCCCUUUUUAUUUUCCUCCUCUCCACUUUUGUAUUAUGAAAACAAUUCCGACUACACACAUGUGACGCUUAUUAUUAUAUUGUUCCCACCGGAAAGCGAGAAAAAAAGUUCAAUUAUAUAUUCCGUUUCCGUCGGGACUCAGUGUUCGUAUAGAGGUACCUGUUACACCGUUCUUGUGCAAUAUAAAAUCAUCACGAGAGACAUUUAUUUGUCAUUAUUUUGGGAACAACCAUUACCGAAUUUUGAUUUUCAAUAAUCAUCGUCUAAAUUUAAAAUUUUUUAAACAGAUGAUGUUUUAGUUAAAGUGGAUUUUGGCGUUGAUUUACGGUGGUAAAUGCGUUUACGCGGUAUUCCUUUUUAAAAAUAAACAAAUAAAAAUAUUAUUUCUAUUUAAAAAUUCAGCUGCAAGUAUGUACAUUUUUAAUUUUUUUUAAUAUCCUUACAAUACAACGCAUAUAGAUUUUAUGAUACCUAAUGGAUUGUUUUCCUGUAUGUUAACAAUUUUUGUACUAGAAAUAUCACACUGAUUACCUAGAAAAGCAUAUUUUCUGAAAGAACACCAUCUUGUUGAUCAGUGCAUCCACAGAGUUGAUUAUUUUGUGAUUUUCGCUCUCGUUUUUUUAAUAAUUGUUAAAAAGGAAAAAUUUAUUGCUGAUUUCUGGGUUUAAUAGAAAAACACUUUUAAUAAUACUUAGCUCAGAAUUGUUUUUUCAUUUGUAAUAGUUUAUCGUUGCGUACGGUAUACAAUUUAAUUUCCCCUAUAUAUCCUAUCUUCUUAAAUACCCAUCUACUAGAACCCAUCGUUAGACAAGGUUGGGUAAAAAUUAUUAUAUUAUAUAGUAUCUCUAUUGCCUUCAUAAGCAAAACUGCCGUAAGUCCAAAAGAAUUAAAAAAUGAUUUAAAUACAUAAAAAAUAUAUAUACUAUAUGCUUAAAACAUUGUCCUAAAAAAUAACUACUCGGUAAUAUUUGUUUUCACCGAACGUAAAUGGUCAAAAAAUGUAUUUUUACUGCAUAAAAACGCCGUUUAAUAAUAACCAUACUAAGCAAAAACACCAUAGAUAUUGAUGAAGAUGUGAUAAUUUUGCUUAGUAUACAAUAAAAAUAAAAAUUUGUGGCAUUUAUACUUACUGCAAAUUGUGGUUUUUUUGAUCAUAAUGUGACACGUGUAAAAUAUAUUUGUAACCAACACGUCAUUAAAAUAUAAUAGUCAUAAUAUAAAUUACAAUAUAAAAAGUUAGUUAAAAACGUCAACAAUUAUUUAUCCAUAUUAAUUUGUAUUGCAUUGCAUUUAUCUGGUAAAAUGACGUAUAAAAAUUAAUGUGUCAUACUUUAGGCUAAGGGUGCAUAUUUGACUCUUUUCCGAUCAGAUCUGACUCGAUUCGACAGUUUAACUGGUCGAAAGAAAAACAUAACCGUGUAUAUUAUCGGCAAUAGCUAUAUUUAUUCGUGCUGUUCGUUCCCGACGCACCGACUAGUCGGAUAAGUCAGAAUAAAACUAACAGGUUUGUUUUUCUUCCAAUCACUUGGACCAAAUUAGAUUAAAUUAUCAGAAUAUAUUCUCGAAGCUUAAUACUUUUAAUACUUAAUACUUUUUUAAAUAUUUCUCAUUUGUAAAAUUUGUUCAUAAAUGAUUUAUCCAACUUGAAUCAUUUAAAUAUAACAUAUUAUUGUUAUUAUCCAGUUAAUCAUCCCAUUCGUCAUCUGAGCUGCUAGAAAUUAAAAAUAUAUUGAAUAGAAACUGUGUAAUAUUAAACACGGCUAAUAAACAUGAGCACUCUAAGCGUCGGUGAAUGCUUAUAAAUAAUCGUCGAUACAAAAUCGGAAAUUAUGUAGCCACACAUAUCGGAUGAGUAAGGUACCGGUUGGGUCAGUCGUAUCGAAACGAAUCGGAAACGGGUCCAAUGUAGCUAUAGCCUCAAGAAGUAAAACGUACUUGGUAUUAUGAAUGUUAGAAAAUGCAAAAUAUAAAAACACGUUUUUCUCAAAAAUGUUCUCAAUAAUUAUUUAAGACGUUUUUGCUUUGAGGGCUUAAUAUGCAAAUGACGAAAAAUAAAAUGAACGUUUUAUUCGCCACAACGGCGUCUCAAAUUUGGUCUGGGUUUAAACAAAUAUAUUAGAAAUAUAUUAUGAUAUAUUAUUAUUCGCGCGGCCGUAUAAGUUUCAGGGAAUAAUAAUAUUAAGUAUAAUAAUUUAGUGUCAACUGACAUAACGCGAAUUUUUCAUAUUAGAUAUGCGAAUACGUGAAACAGUUUUGAUAAAUAAUGUACAGCAGUGUACAACAGUAUAACCUUGCGUACAAAGAGAAACGAGAUAAUAUUAAAUAUAAUUUAUAACGACUCAAUGGAAUAUUUGUAAAAAUAACAGGAAUUUACGGAAAAUCGGAUUCGUUUUAUAGUAAAAUUUAAUGAUUACGCUAUGAACCGUCAAGUAUAUAAUCGAAUGUUAAACAGGAAAAAACGGUCUGAUAACGAACUCGUAGAGUUUAAAACGUUUACUUUCAUUUUUCUUUCUUGGCAUCAUAACUCUUCAAGAGUUUUUACCUCUAUCGCUAUUUCCCCCCACUCCUCACGAUUUUUCAAUUUUUCUUCCUAUUUUAUUAUUAUUCUGGACAUCCUACAUUAUCCUAUUAAUCUAUUGCUUCUUUGAAUGCCCUCUUGCUAUAUUUCCUGUUGGAUUUCACUCGACAAAUGCUCUUAUAUCCUCUGCGUCGGCCUUCCCCAUCUCGUGUCCGAACCAUUUUUUUCGUUGCACUUUCACAAAGUUAGUAAUCUCUGAAACUCCUGUCAGAUCUCGGAUUUUUUUGUUUCUUCCUCUACGAUAAUAUUCUAAAUCAGGUACAUAGGCUAAAAACUUGAUCAAACAAAACAUACAAAUUUCGAUUUUAGUCACUAUCUAAAGGCAAUUCAUUUGAAAACCGAAUGAACGGUGGGACAUCGUUAUCAUUGCUUUUUAUCUGUUCAUUUUUCAAAAGCGUUUAGUUUUUGUUUGUUCGUCAUUAAAAAUUACAUGACUUUGCCAUGAAAAAUUGUUUUAUCACCAUUUAAAAUAAAUUUAACGAAGUAGUGAAAAGCCAUUUUAUUUUAUUUCCAAAAAAAAUACACAGUACAAUACAAUACAAAACGAAACACAGUAAAUAAAUACUUGAAUUCGACUCUCACAAUAUCUUGAUAAUAAUAAAUUAUAUUAAUAAUAGUUAAAUUUAAUGAAGUGAAACGCUAUAUUAUUUUCUUUUCAAAUCAAACUACAUAGUACACAAGACGAAACAAGUGAGGUAAAUGAGUGAACAGCACGAUUAAAGAUACCUUUACCGACCUCGAGGUAAAAAUAGCUGCUCGUGAAAAGCACUGCUCAAACGGCCGGGUGGUUCAGGCAACUCCAAAAACGCAAUUAAUAACGCAUUUUGGCCAUGGUUUGGCCGAUUAAGCAACUCGCCUAUUGUCUGAUUUAAAAUUUUAAAAUUCAAUUUUCACAAACGAGUUUUGUUAGAAUUGGAAGUUUGAGUAAACUAAGGACUUUGAUAUAUAGUUAAAGUAAACAACAUGACUAGUUAUAUAAUUAUGUAUAACAUUAUAUAAAUAACAAACUAGACUCUAUCAGGGAUUGUGUGCACAGUAUGACAUUUUGUAAAAGAAUAAGAACGUAUAUCCAAAAAGUCCUAUUUAUAUGCUACCUUUGACGUAAUGUUCUGAAGUCAGUUCUUUUUUUUUAUUCAUGAUAAUAAACUUAUAAUGAACCUCGUGUUAAGUUUUCAAGCAUUUCUAUUUAGUCUAACAAUUAUAUCCACAGAGUACCUACAGAAUAAAAAUUACUUAAAAACUGGCAAAAUAAAAAUAUCAAAAAUAGCUCAAAUAUUUUGAAAAUUUUACCAAGUUAAGAAAGGAAAAUAGAAGUUUUCUUUCCAAAUUUUAAUUCUCUACGAAUAUAUUAAACUAGAUUAUAACUUAAAAUCAAAAUUGAAAAUAAUACAUUUCGUAAAUUUUCCCGUUUCUUACAUUUUUUCCCAAUAAUUUUGAAAAUUAAAAAAUAACCUCCUAAGAGUAUCAACAAAAUAAUAUUUCCUUUCAAAAAAGGCGCUAUAUUUCAAAGUCGGAGGAAAAUGUCUGGUAGAAAAGUUAUUCCUAGAAAAAAAUAAAAAUAAUAAUAAAUAAAUGAGAAAAUUAGUAGGCCAAAAAAUAAUUGAAUAUAGGUUUUUGCAGUAAAUAAAGGUACUGUGAUAAGACGUGAAAAACAAAGAGCACGAAAAAUAAACGACGUGGGAAACAAUGAGGAUGAAGAAUAGACGACGUUAUCGAGAGUAUUGGUUGAAUUGUAUAUUGUGUGGACAUUUUAUCUCAUUGAUACUCUAAGGAGGUAAUUUAUUAAUUUUCAAAACGAUUUGAUAAUAAUUGGGAAAACCCGUAAAAAAUAUAAGAAAAAGAAAAAAUGUACGAAAAUAAUGCUUUUAUUUUUUUUUUUUUUUUUUUUUUUUUUUUUUUUGUAAUUCAGUUCGAAAUGUUCGCAGAGACUUGAAAUUUGAACAGAGACAUUAUAUUUGCUUUUAUUGAAGUGAUAAAAUAUUCAAAACAUUUGAAUAAUUUUUGUGCUAUUUAUAAACAUUUUUAACUUUGCGAUUUUUUAACGUAAUAUUUGUUCAUUAGGUAUACUGUGAAAAAAAUUGUUAGACCAAAUAUAAAUGAUUGACAAUUUAACAGGACGUUCAUUAUAAGUUGUACCUUGGUGCCUAGUGGUCAACAAGAAAACGUUGAGUUUAAUGUAGUAUUUGUUUUUUAUAUUAGAAUUUCAAUAUCAAAUUUUGAAGGAAAUUGUAAAUACUACGGCCUUUAAAACAAGUAUAGUUGAACUCCGCUCAGAAUCCUUUUCUGUUAGCAAUGUUUUAUUAUUGCAUACAAUACAUUAAUUUCCUCUUUAUAUCCUACCUUCCCAACUUCUCACCUGCAAUAGUGGCCCGCCCAUUAUGUGAAGUAUGUUCGUUUUUUUUUAGUUUGGAAAUUAUUUUAAUAAAUUAUUAUUUUGUUAAUAAUACGAAUUACGUGUACGUUAUAGAGUUUGGGAAAUCACGAAUUCGACGACGGCGUGCAAGACGUCCAGUUGUUCAUACACAACAUAACCGUUCCGGUAGUGGCCAGUAAUCUCGAUCUAACCGGCGAACCUUCAUUGGCUAAUGAGCCAAAUUUAAUGAAAUCCAAGGUGCUCACGGUCAACGGUCGCAAAAUCGGCAUUAUCGGAUACUUGACGCCGGAAACAUCAGUAUGUAAAAAAAUUAAAUAAAAUAUGAUAAUUGACUUGUUUUUUAUUUUUACGAAUAUUCAAAUGUAAGAAUAGUGGCGAACCUAAGCUUUUUUUAGGGGAGGGGUGAAAUAUAUUUUUACCCACUCUUAAAAUAGAAAAUUCCAUAAAAAAGUAAUGUCGCAGAUACAACAAUUGUCUUAAUAAUUACAGAGAUUGGGUACUUAAAAAGUUAGGUUAGAUUAGGUUUGUGAAAUAUAACAUUUUAACACAUGAAAUAAGGAAUUUGUAUUUAAAUAAAUAUAAUAUUAUAAUACAUGUCAUAAAUGUAUAACAUAUUGUCUCACCUCUGGUUUUUCAUAGAAGAGAAUUUUUUAAUAAUAUCAUCCACUGGUUACUUUUUUCCUGGUAAAUAUGCAUAGUACAAGCCUAAAUAAACGAUCCAGACACAUUUAUUUUGUAAUUAGAAAUCAAUGAUAGGAAACAACGGUCGAACCGCCAAAAAAAAAUGAUAACAUCAGAAACCUUAUCCAUUUCUACCAUAGAAACGGAUAACAAAAAUAUUUUAUACCUAUGUGUUCGACCACCAUAUAUUAUUAACUAGUUACUUUAAAAAAUAUAUUUUGAAAACAAUUGUGAAAACAUUACAAAAAAAUAACAAUACACACAUGCAUAAGGUCUACGGGAGGAGGGGAGCGAAUGUUCCGAUCACCCCACCCUCUUUCAGGUAACUGCCACUGUGUAAAAAAAAUUAAAACUUGAAAUGUAUUUAUAUCUAUUGAAAAAUGUGUUAUUUUUGCGUAUUAAUACAGUAUUUAGCGUUCGUGGGUAAUUUAAAAAUAUUACCAGAAAUCCCAUCGAUAACUGCUGAAGCGAAACGCCUGAAAAACGAAGGGGUGAAUAUUCUUAUAGCACUGGGGCAUUCCGGUUUUGAUACAGACAAAAAAAUUGCGGAACAAGUGGACGAUAUCGAUCUGGUGAUCGGUGGGCAUACCAACACGUUUUUAUACAAUGGUGAAUUUCACGAUAAAACAUUUUAAAAAAUACACGGGAAAAAAUGGCCAACAAGUUUUAUGUUGUUUUAUACAGGAGAUCCGCCAGACCCCAUCGACGAACCCGUCGGCCAGUAUCCAUUUAUGGUAAAACAACCAAGAACGAAUAGAGAAGUGCCCGUAGUACAGGCGUUUCAUCUGACCAAAUAUUUGGGAAAAUUGUGGAUAGAAUUUGACGAGGCAGGAGAAGUGAUUCGAAGUUACGGGAAUCCUGUUUUGUUGGAUUACCGUUUCGGGCAAGGUAUAUUAUUAUAAAUAUAACCUAUUUUAAAAAGAAAUUGUACCUAUUCAAAAUUGAUAGUUCAUAAUGAUAAUAAUGUAACCUAAAUGUGUACAUAUUUCCGUUUACAGACCACAACAUUUUGAACCAAAUAAAAGAUUUUGAUAAUCUCAUAAACUUCAAGACAAAAGAAGUGAUAGGUUCGACAAGUGUGUUUUUGGAAGGUAUCGACAAGUAUUGUAGGGUCAGAGAGUGCAAUUUCGGCGAUCUCAUAACGGACGCGUUUAUAGACUACGUGAGUUUAAGAAUCAUUACAAAUUUUAAUAUUAUAUAUAAGGGCCGUGAAUUUAUAUAGUUUUCUAGAAGUAUAAAGUUCGGAAUUUGUAACAAUAAAGUCAGUUUUUACUUCGUAUUUUUGGAUAUUUUCGUUUUUUCAAUGAAAAAUUACAUUUUUCAUUUAACUGGGAACGCUCAUUCAUUCUUCCAUUAUCUCGGAAAGUGUUAAUUUUUUUGGGAUUUGUUUUGUUAGGCUAGGUUAGUUAGAACAUUUAAAAAACAAACAGCUUUACAAUUUUAAAUUUAUAAUAUUUUUUGUCACUCUUAUUUUUAGGGGUAAAACUACCCAUUACCUAAUGUUAAUUUUCAAUCAUACUUUCCCCAACCCAAACUUAAAAGUGGAAUAUCCCAUGUAUGGAUUGAUGGAAAUAAUAAAUUUCAACACCAAAAUUUAUCUUAACUAAUACUCCUUCUAUUUAUGGAUAUUUAAAUACAGGUUGCUAUUUUAAAAUCAAAAGUAGAUACCUAGUAGUCUUAUACACGAAAAAAGGGUGAUAGAAAUUAACAUGAAUGUAAAAUUUUAGAGCUGCUUGUUUCUUAAAUAUAGGUUAGUACCCAGUUGUUAGAAAAAUGAUAAGGUAAUUGUAGCUACAGCGACUUGCAGUGAUAUCAAUAUCGAAAAGAUAAAAUUUAAAUAAAAGUGUAGUUAUACCAACAAUAUGGAAAAAAUAUGUUUUAAAUUAUUUAAAAUAAUAACACUAUGUAUUUGUGAUAUACAGGUGUCCUAUGGAGAUAUGCAAUCAUUUUUGUUAUAUUCAAUAUAUUUAAUUUCUUUAUUUAAUACUUAACUAACCUAAAGAUCAUUUUUAUUUUAUAACCUGUUUUCUUUUUCAAACAAAUUAAGUAAUGAUGGAUAUCCAUGGCUGUAUACUUUUAUUCAUUCAUAUACAUUUUAAUUCAAAAUGUCCAGUUUAGCAUAGCUUCAUUGUAUUGUAUUUUUAAUUUUAUCUAAUGGUUAAGACAACUAUAAGUAGAAUACGAGUAAUAAAUAUUAUGGAAUAUUUGUGAUAAAUAAUAAGAAAUUGUGAAUAAGAUGAAUACAAACGAUGGCAACAGCUUCAAAAGUUAUACUGAAUGUCUUGGUGAUUAGUGGUUACAUAAAAUAUAUUUAUUUUAAGGUUGUGUAAACGAUAAGAGUUAAACAAUUGUACGAGCCAAUUUUUAUUUUGAGAUAGGCUGGUCACAUUACCGUAAGGGUAUACAAUUUAUACAGAGGUGGCCAAAAGUCGCGCAACAUAUUUGCAACACAAUUUGUAAUAGUAAAAAAAGUCGUUUAUGUUUUCAAAUAAAAAAAAAAAUGAUAUAAAAAUUAACAUUACAAAGUAACAUCAUCUUACGGCAAUUACAAUAAAUGUUCAAAAUUAUGUCCUCCAGCUUCAAUAACUGCUCCACAACGUUUUUUUUACCACGUUUGUGGCAUUGUAAAGAUACGAAUAAUCGGUGCUCAAAAUUUAGAAUUCUUCCUCGAUUCGAUUUUUUAAAUAAAUCAAAUUUUAGAUUGGCGUCUUGUAAACUCGAUCUUUGAUAACUCCCCACAUGCUGAAAUCACAAGAUGUGAGAUCGGGUGAUCUUGGGGGCCAUUCCGUCGUCCCACGGCGACCAAUCCAUUCGUUGAAGUUUUUAUUCAAAAAAUCACGAACCACAACCGCAUAAUGGCAUGGUUAUGUUGUUUUUUUUAUAAUUGUUGCUGUUGUUGUACGUAAAUAAGAUAGUGAGACCAAAGUUACAAUAUGAUGUAAUGAAAACGACGUGGAGGGAGAAACUGCGCCGUAACGCGCGUUCCAUACAAGACGGUAGGCGUUGCGUGACUUUUGGCCACCUCUGUAGUAUAGAAUGUUGGAAACUCUAUUGUGUUAAACUUGUCAUCUUAUCAUUUUUCUGUCAACUGGAAAAUUUCCUUUAAAUGUCUUAUAAAACAAAUUCCGAAAAAAGUUAUUACUUUUUAAGAUAAGAAGUAUUUAAAUGUAACGAUGUGCAUUAUCUUCUUUUUACUAAAUAAUUUAAAAAUCAUUUUUUUAUAAUUAUUAUUUGAAGUUGCAUUAUUUAUCAAUGAAUACUAGCAACAUACUUUUAAAAAUAUCGCUUAUUUUACUGGAUUUUAGGGCAUUUAAUAUAAAUUUAUCAGUGAUAUUUGUGGAACGUUGAGCUGUUUUUUUGAUUAGAGUAUAAAAUAUUUCUAUUCUCGAUAGUUUUUUGUGCGUAAUACUGAAUAAAAAUCGGUUGUCCUGUAAAUAGAACCUAUGGACUAACGUGAAACCGGUCGGCUCAUCGACCAAAUCCUGGACCGACGCACCGAUAGCAAUAAUGCAAAGUGGUGGAAUUCGAUCAAACAUUAAUCACAUUUCCAGAAUAGGUAUAAAUUAGAAAUAAUAUCGAUUUUACCAUCUAUAGUUUUUCGUAUGUGAUUAUUAUUUUUUAUGUGUGCUUAGAUAUAACGUCGCACAUAUAUGUGUGUGUGUGUUUAAGGUAACAUAACGUUUGGCGAUCUGUUAUUGUCGUUGCCGUUCCAGAACGAGGUAGGCAAGAUAACGAUAAAGGGCUCGGAAAUUUGGAACGCUUUUGAAUAUUCCGUUCACCGGUACAACGAAAAAAUUCUAUACGGUGAAUUCCUACAAGUAUCAGGUAUAGUAAUAAUAUACUUUGAAGUAUGAAAUGGUGGUAUGAUAACUAUUACAGAUUAAAUAAUUUCGUUUUGUGUAGUUAUAACCAUGUUAACACAUGUGAGUAGCAGUAUUCCAUCACUAAAGUGCAAUUUGUGUUUAGUCAACUUAUCGUCGUUUAAAUAUUUAAAUAUCUAAUUUUUUGUAUUUCUAAAUAAUUGAUCUAAUAUAGAGUUUUACUACGUUUUAGUAAAUUUUAAAACCCAGUAUUUCUUGUGAAAGCAUGAAAUUUGGGCAUAACAAUGGACGGGAAGGUGUAAAUAGUUGAAAAUCCGAAUGGGACAUCCUAUAUAUGUAUAUAAUAUACAUGUAUAUAAAAUCGCAAUAAAAAAGCCCUUCACCUGCAACGAUAAUUGUACCACAUCAAUCUGUAUAUAAAACUACUCUAAUUCAGGAUUUUGAGCUCAUUUAAUCAAGAGAGAACCAUUAAAAAUAUUUAAAGUAGCAAGGAAAAGAUAUAUCUAUGCAUAACAGACAAGAUUACUAUAAAAUAGUCUACAUUUUAGGAGAAAAUGUAAUAACUGAUAGUAAAAGAUUUCCUCCGAUUCCACCAUGGUACUCUAAAGCGUAUAUAUAUUUAUGAACCUUGAAAAAUUAUUUUUUAUGUGGUACUUCUUUAGAAAUAUAUAAAAUUCAUACAAAAAUCACAGAAAAUUCAAAAUACAUAUUUAUAUCUAUAAAGAACCUAUGGAAAAUUAAAUUUUCAUUUAACACAUUUUCUUAAAUUUUAGGUUCUGAUGAAUGUAUUAUUUUUACUAUGAUAUUAAUUUUUAAUUUUUUUUAUCUAUAAACAACUUUAAUACCAUUGAUUUUGUUCCGAUUUUCAAGUGUUACUCUUUUCUGAAAGAAAAUUUGGUUUUAUAUGUUUUUUCCUUCAUUAAUUAUAAUGAAGGAAAAAACAUAGAAAAAACGAUACUGGGGACAGAUGUAGCCACUGUUGUAGAUGGGAAGUUGGGAAGGUAGGAUACAUAAGAUUAUUUCAUUUAUAUCUGUAGCAACGACAAACCAUUAUUGACGAAAGACAAUUCCGAGCGCAUUUCGGCUAUACAUAAUUUGGAGUACAAUAAUUUUUUUUUGCUAUUUUCGUUUAAAUUUGAUUUUAAAAUGCUUAUUGAAAACGACAAAAAAGCGUCCGAUGAUUUUGGAAAUUUAACCACGUUUAGGUAAGUCCAAUAUAGGUAUCAUUACCAAGUUUCAAGUCUUUACGUGUAUUUAUAUAAGCGAAUUACAGCGAAAAAACUCCCAAAAUUAAAAUUUCUUAAAGGUUUAAAAGUGGCUCAAAAAUGUUGCCGAUAAUACCGUAGAAAGUAAAUCAAAAAGGCAACAAAAAGGUGUCGUGAUUUUUCGAUGAAAUCAUUUUUUUCUGGUAGAAAACGUCGUCCGUGUUUUUAUAAAAUAAUGAAAUUGUAAAAUUGUACAUUUUCCUACGUUUUCUACUUAAGUGUUUUUAUUUAAGAAAUGGCGUCGAAAAUCAAAUGUUUCAUUUAUCAACUAAUAUACCCCUAUAACCCGAAUAGGAAAUAUAAGUAUAAUGUUGUAUGGCAGUGGUUCCCAACUCAACAAUAGGCACGGACCACUUUUAUAAAUUUUUCACCGUCACGGACCAAUCCCUGAUUUCAAACCCCCCCCCCUCUUUAUAUCACUUAUUUUUUUUAUAGUUUUAUAUAUGGUUUAUAAUUUCUAGGUACAAAAUAAAAUCAGAAAUACAGUUUAUGUCGUAGAAAAAUAUUUUAACUUAUUUAUUUAAAAAUUUAAUUUAAUAAAAAAAGCUAAUACAAAUUUAAAUUUUACAUUUUACGAACUUAUAUUGAUUAACUUAUUCAAUGAGAAAAAAUAUAACAAAUUAAUAUUAUUGAGUAUUAAUGUGACUUAAUAGGGCGCGCUUCUUUUACCAGUUGUGAAAUUCUUGGAACGAUGCUGUUGCUUAGUGCCAGUCGCAUAUCAUCACUUGGAUUCAGACGAUUUCGUUGUUUAUUUUUUAUAGAUAAUAGUUAUAGUUAUAGAUAAUGUUAUUUAUAUCCGUACAUAAAUUUUCAUCGGUCGCGAUAGUGUGUUAUCUGGCUGUUAGGCGCUAAGCCGUUAAUAAUAAAAAAUAUCAAGUAUAAAUUCGCUCAUUUUUUUAAAUUUAAAUUUUUUUAUUCACGGAUCACUUAAGAUGAGUCCACGGACCACCGGUGGUCCGCGAACCACCAGUUGGGAACCACUGUUGUAUGGUUAUCACUGUACUAGGCAAAGUAACUACGCGCAAUUGAUCUUCUAUAUUACCAGCCGGGGAACGGGUUGUCACACGUAGUUUUGGCCGAGAUAUUCAGAUAUAAUUUAGGAAAACGCCUUCACGUAAUUUGCUCAAUCAAAUCAUAGUUAUAUCAAUAUGCAGGACCAUCGCCAUAAUGCAAUGUUUAAUACAUAUGAUAAUACUUAAUACGUUAUCAAUUCGAUAUAGGAUAGGAGAGGAUGGAGCAGAAUUUAAUUUAGUUAAUAUAUUUUGUUAAAGUAACUUAAACGAAUACAAUAAACAAUUAAAAAUAGUUAGUCACACUGGUUUUCAUACUGUGUUACAAAACAAGAAAUAUUUUGCCAUCUUUGUAAUAAACAAAAAUAAUAAUCUGUUUACUUACAUUUUUUUUUUUUUUUUUAAUCUUGUUUUCCGUAAGAACUUUUUGGAAACAAAGAUCAAAAAUCAUAACUAUAUUAUAACGUUUACUUAUAUUAAUUUGGUUGCCUAGUAGUAUAUUUACUAUACAUAUUUUAUUUAUAAUUACUACAAUUUAUAAAACGCUUUUAAUUGAUAAUUUUGACACGGGGUAGAUUUUUGAAUUAUAAAACAUGCAACGCAUUUGUUUACAACAAAGUUUAAACAAUGUUCCUAUAUUGUUACAUUAUUAUAUGGUGUUUUUUUUUUAUAAUUUGAAUAAACACUAUUAUUUUUUGUUUAUUUUUAAUUUAUAUUUAACAUUGAAAUGUGCCCCUUUAUUUAUAAUACACACAUCACAGUGACAGAUUCAAAUGUACUUCAUACACGAUGUGCACUUGAAUAAAAAUAAAAUUGUUAUCAUGUAUGGAGUUAAAAUUAAUAAUAUUUGUAAACCUAUAGACUACUAGAUAAUAAUUAUCAAACACUAAAAAUAUAAAAAACCAAAUUUAAUUGUUUUAACAAAUCUCUUAGACAACAAGCCAGUAUACAGGCUCUCUAAGUCAUGGUAAUUUAAAGUUUUUUUUUUUUUUUUUUCAUUUGAAACCGAUAACACUGGAAGAUCUGUAUUAACAUUUCUACUCCACUACUGACAUUGUUUUUUCGGUAUAGGUAUUACUUAUUGAACGGAAUUAUAUAAAAUAUGUAUUUGAUAUCGUCAAAUAGGUUUACGGGUCGUCAUAGACUUGGGUCAGCCCAUUGGCAAGCGGGUACAAUCGAUACAAGCUAGGUGUGGAGAAUGCACCGUUCCGGUUUAUCAGAAAUUAAAUUUGGAUGAAAAUUAUACGAUAAUCAUGACCAGGUACUUAGCGAACGGGGGAGACGGUUUCACGUUUACAAAUAUCGCCGGUUAUAAAAGUUUCGGUGAGUAUAUUAUACAGUAAUAUAAAGUAUUGCGAUUGAAUUUUGUCGCAAAUACCGGUGAUCAGAUCCAUACGAGGAUUUUAAGGAAUCCCCCCUCCUAGACAUUAUGUUAUUAUUUUAUUUUCAAUGAUAUUCUAAAAAACCCACACUUAUACUCCGUAUACCUCAAUAUAAAUACGAUAUAAUACUAUUAUCGACUGUUAAUUUCCAAAUAACAAUCAAUUAUAUUAUUUUGAAAACGCCAAUUUGAACAAAUUGUUGAAAAAAAAAACCGUACACAUUCCAUAAUGUACGUGUAUCGAAAUACAGCAGUAGAACAACAUUAUUCUCAUUACUCAUUAUCCCAGAAAGUUUUAAAAUUUUUACAAAUUGUAUUUAUACAAAAACGACAUCUAUUUGUAUAAUUUUUUAUACAUGUUGGUAUUUGAAAAAAAAAAUUAUUAUUCGUGUCAUCGCCAAAAAUAAGGGUGACAAAAAAUAACGGUAAUAUAACAUUUUAGAACUACUUCUUUUAUAAAUUGUCCAAUAUCCGAAAUCCGAAAAAUACUUUCCGAGAUAAUGAGUGUCUUAUCAAGAGUUGAUAACCCUGUAUAAAAUUAAUGACCUAUUCUACAUUAUAAUGAAUGCAAAAAAUACCGUUAAAACGUCAAAUUUAUUCAAAGUUUCUUCUCGUAUCGCGCGUUUGAUCAUCUGCAGGCAUUUUGCGCUAUAAUUAUUUCCACUGAUGGAAUUGUAUUAUGUUUUUUUUCGAAUGAUUUAGAGAUAUCUGAGUUCGACAUAAUAAAACGGUACAUCGGUCUAAAGUCACCAAUUUGGCCGGAAAUCGGGCAGCGAAUAAUUUUGCUCAACUCUGAAAAGCCACAUAAAACAGUCGACAGCAACAGCAGCAGCAGUAGCAGUGGUCUGAAUAUUUCGAAAUCUCGAUUAACGAUCUAUUUACUAUUUUUGACGACUAUUGUUGUACAAAAUAUACCUACAAAAUUGUUGACACUGCUAUAAGUACAUGUAAUUGGUUAAUUUGAACUGCUAUUGUUGGAAUAUAUUUGUAUACGAUUACCCAAAUAUUACAAAGACAAUAUUAUAUACUACCUGCUCUUCAUUACAACCAUCUAAUUUUAAUUUUAUAUGUUAUUAUAUUAUUAUUUAUUUAAAAUAAAUAUAUUAUAGGUAAACAAUUAAUAAUAUAAUAUUAUAGACCCGACGUAACGUGUCGUUUUACACUUUUAAAAAUAUAUGUUUGUUUUUACUUGGUAAUCGCUGUUAGACAUUAAUCAAAAAAAUAAAAACUGAAAAACUAUUGUACAUUUUGGCCAAUUGAUUUGUAAAAAUUGCGAUAUUGAUAUUGAUUACAAUUUUACUUAAGGACUGGAAUUAUUAUUUGAAGAAUAAGUUGGUUUCAGUGUGUCAAUAAUGAUAAGAGAGAAAGUUAUACUACGGAAGUACAUACAUUGAAAAAUACGUGUGUUAUAGUGUUUUAAUAUUUACUUCGAAAUGUAUUGUAUUGUCAACAGUUAUAAUUUAACAUUAAAACAAAUUCAAAUU